UCCUCUAGCCGCUGCUGUUGCUGGCCAUCCUGGGCAUGUCUUGGACUGUAGGUACACCCCGUUCGCCUCGGCUCCUCGCCCCGGACAUGGUGUCCGCCCUGCGUGUCUGUCCAGAGUUCCCUCCUCUGACGAGGACACCAGUCACUGGCUCUGAACCACCCUAGUGCAGGGUGACCUCCCCUUAACUUAGGGGCUGCAAAGAAGUCACGGUCACAAGUCCCCAGAGUCGGGACUUCCACUCACCAUCUCCAGGGGAUACAGUUCAGACCAGAAGUUGGGGCUGAGGCCCAGGGACCUCAGCUUUGGCCCCCACUCUGAUGGGAGGACCCCGAGGAGAGCCCCCUUUCCCUUCCGGCUGGACCUGAAGAGCCUGGGAGCCCAGUGGACUGUUGGCUCCAUCCUUCCUUCCCAACCCCAGCCAGUCCUGGGGUCAGGGUUACACCUGCAGCUGGGGACAAGGGGCCCUGGGGGUCGGCCCUGGGCCCAAGGUAGGGGAGAGGGUGGGUAGGGAGGCAGCCAGGGGCCCAGCUGCUCCUGUCACUGUGCUCAUUGGCACUGACCCUGCAUGGGACCUGGGGUGUCUGGGCUCUCACUGGAUCUGGGCCACUUUUCCUCUGCCUUGGGACGUUGGCCGGAAGCAGCGGUGCUGGAGCCGGGAGAUGGUGGUGAGAAACCUGUGCCACCAGCAGUCCCUGCCUGGCCCUGGGGAGCAUGAGGCUGCCAUCUCCGUGGACCUGCUGCUUCCGGACACUCUGUGAGCGGCCUUCGUGUCUGGCUCUUUUGACUUCAGUUGUGUUUUCAAAUUCGUCCAUUUUACAGGCUGGCCUCCACACACCCCCCCCACGGGAGGCUCGGGUGUGGAACUGGACACGGUGAGAACGUGGAUCGGUCACUGAACGCAGGGUUGAAAUCUGCUCUCCCCGGAGCCUGUUCCCACCUACUCAGAAUCCACUGAGGCUCCGCGAGCUCAAGCUGCCGUCAGCAGAGAUGCUACAGUCUGGGCACUGUGCUCGGGCCAGCGGGCAGGACGUGUGGCAGAAGUGUAACACGCCCAGCUCGUGGGGUUCCUCAGCUGUACCCCAAGGAGCCUCAGCCCCGAGAAUCUUUGUAAAACCGCGGAGCUGAUGGGAGCAGCACUGGCUUUGGGGGUGCUUGUGGAUGCUGUGGGCAGGACCCCGUUACAUGCCACUCUCAGGAGUAGCAGUUCUGAUCCUCAAGG